rnacentral:rRNA from 1 species
AAGGAAGAAAGGGCACGCAGUGGAUGCCUUGGCACCAAGAGACGAAGAAGGACGGAACUAACACCGAAAUGCCACCAGGGGAGCUGUAAGUAAGCGACGAUCCGUGGAUAUCCGAAUGGGGGAACCCACUAGAUGGAAGAUCUAGUAUCUCUUAGGAGAAGUGAAACGCAGCGAAUUGAAAUAUCUUACGUAGCUGCAGGAAAAGAAAGUAAAAACGAUUCUGCGAGUAGCGACGAGCGAAAGUGGAGGAGCCAAUCAGCUAAGGUUACAAAAUUGUAUAAUAGACAAAUGACGUGGGAAAGUCAGGCAUAGAAGGUGAGACCCCUGUAGUCGAAAUUGUGCAAUCCGUGCUGAUAGAAAGUAGGGCGGGACACGUGGAAUCCCGUUUGAAGAUACGAGGACCAUCUCGUAAGGCUAAAUACUACUUGGUGACCGAUAGUGAACCAG